UCCUGUUUUAUAAAAUCAUGAAGAUUAACUGGUGGUUGUUUAUGUAACGAAGGCUUACCUACUAGGUAUUUUUUAAUAGAAAUGAUUCUAUAAACAAUGGAAGGUUUGAAUCUAUAAACAAUGGAAGGUUUGACUCUAUAAACAAUGGAAGGUUUGACUAUAUAAACAAUGGAAGGUUUGACUAUAUAAACAAUGGAAGGUUUGACUCUAUAAACAAUGGAAGGUUUGACUCUAUAAACAAUGGAAGGUUUGACUCUAUAAACAAUGGAAGGUUUGACUCUAUAAACAAUGGAAGGUUUGACUAUAUAAACAAUGGAAGGUUUGACUCUAUAAACAAUGGAAGGUUUGACUCUAUAAACAAUGGAAGGUUUGACUCUAUAAACAAUGGAAGGUUUGACUCUAUAAACAAUGGAAGGUUUGACUCUAUAAACAAUGAAAGGUUUGACUCUAUAAACAAUGGAAGGUUUGACUAUAUAAACAAUGGAAGGUUUGACUCUAUAAACAAUGGAAGGUUUGACUCUAUAAACAAUGGAAGGUUUGACUCUAUAAACAAUGGAAGGUUUGACUCUAUAAACAAUGGAAGGUUUGACUUUAUAAACAAUGGAAUGUUUGAUUCUAUAAACAAUGGAAGGUUUGACUCUAUAAACAACGGAAGGUUUGACUCUAUAAACAAUGGAAGGUUUGACUCUAUAAACAAUGGAAGGUUUGGCUCUAUAAACAAUGGAAUGUUUGACUCUAUAAACAAUGGAAGGUUUGACUCUAUAAACAAUGGAAUGUUUGACUGGAGUCAUUGAUAAGAGAUCCAGGGCUCUUUGUAACAAAUUUGAUUUUUAUCAUAUAUAACCAGUUACUGAUAAUAAAUCACUGUUAGUGUAUACAUUGCUUCUCACAAUGUAGAAUGACAACCAUGGUAUCUAAUUAAUCUUAUCAACACCAAAACUUUAAAAUUGAUAAUAACAGUGCCCUAUAAUGAUCGCUUUUAAAACAAAACAUUUCAAAUAAAAUGUAGGAGCAAGCUCAUUAGAAUUUCUCUGGAAAACAAUCUUGUUCAUUUCAAAGGAAAGGUUCAACUUGAUUUUUCCAAAUUGAUAAAACCUAAAAUCAUUUUUAGUAUAUUUCUGAGAUGCCAAUCUUUGAUUUUAUAUAUAUGUAUGUACUAUGUAUAUAUAAACUGAUAUUUAGCAGCUUUCUGCUUUUCUGAGAUUGUGACUUAAUUACUGUGUGGUGUGGUGCAGGUUGUACUAAAUAGAUAGGUAUUGUUUGUGUCAGAUUAAUUUUAAAUUUCAAACAGUUACAGUUUACAACAGAUCUGGUAUACUUCACAGAAAAACAUAUGUGUGGGUUUUGCUAAUUUUUUGCAUCAAUACUUUGUCUUUCUGCUGUAUUUUCAUUAUUCAUCGUUUGAUUAUCGGGUGAGGUAAAAUAAUACUCAUGUACAUGUACACAAGAUUUCAUUGUCAUUUUGAAAAUGACAGAAUAUUUCAUGAGAUUUUCCCACUAGCUUAUUUUUAACUUCAAUUCCUUUUUUUCAAAUAACAGUAGAUGAAAUAAUAUUUUUAUACAUCAGUGUUUAAGAGAUUUUUGGUUUUGAAUGAAUUGCAAAAUAAUUCCUGUUUGUUUGUGAUAAUAGUUGGACAAUCCUGUUGUGUAUAUUUUACCUACAAUAAUUUACGUUCAUUGUGUCAUAAUACCAAGUGCAUUUAUGUGCCUGCCAUAAAAUGGUGAGGUGGCCGGGCGAAUAUUCAUACCCAUCUAUUCAUCAUACUCAGUGCUUCGGGUACCUCUUGAUUUUAUUUUUACAAAUUAUUUUUCAUGGCAUUAACAGAAAUAUAGGUAUACAGUGUGACAACAGAGGGACUGCGCUAGUCAGUGGCGAUGAUGAAGCUGUCCGAAAACAAUUUGUAUAUUGUCUUUGUAGUGCUAUUAAUUGAUUCUGUGCUGGGUAAUGGAGAAAUAUCAUGUAAAACAGUAUUAAAGAUAACAUUUGAUUUACUGUAGACUUUCAUGUGUACAUAUUUAGUUUAGAAACAAUUAGCAAACAGUUUGGUGGUUUGGAAGAGGAUAGCUGCAUUGUUUUUUUCCCAAAAUGUUUCUCGAAAAUUAUUGUGUAAGUAUACAGAUUAAAAAAAUCUGUACUGUCAGAAGCGAAUUCUGAUAUAUUGAUGUUUAUGAAAUCCUGUUUUAAUGGUAUACAUGAAAGAUGUAGAAUGCUUUUUUUAUUGUUUUAUUUACACCCUAAAGUGCAGAUGCAUUCUGGGAAGAAUUACAGAUGCAUAUUAUUCAAGUCAUAAACAUAUGUAAAAUCUGACGAGUUUUUUGUCACUACAUGAAAUGUACCAAAGAUAUUUGUAUGCUUCAUGGAUCACAGAUAAGUGUUAAUAAAAAAUAUUUUGCAUAAUUGGAAUUAGAUCUUCAUAUGUCCCGGUUUUAUUUGAGCGCUAUUGGGUGAGCUGGAACUAUUGAUGUCAUACAUGAUAGCAUUUUGAUUUUAUCUGUCAAAUAAAACAUGAGAAUUUUG